GACCAACGCUGGCGGCGUGCUUAACACAUGCAAGUCGAACGGAAAGGCCCUGCUUUUGUGGGGUGCUCGAGUGGCGAACGGGUGAGUAACACGUGAGUAACCUGCCCUUGACUUUGGGAUAACUUCAGGAAACUGUGGCUAAUACCGGAUAGGAGCUCCUGCUGCAUGGUGGGGGUUGGAAAGUUUCGGCGGUUGGGGAUGGACUCGCGGCUUAUCAGCUUGUUGGUGGGGUAGUGGCUUACCAAGGCUUUGACGGGUAGCCGGCCUGAGAGGGUGACCGGCCACAUUGGGACUGAGAUACGGCCCAGACUCCUACGGGAGGCAGCAGUGGGGAAUAUUGCACAAUGGGCGGAAGCCUGAUGCAGCAACGCCGCGUGCGGGAUGACGGCCUUCGGGUUGUAAACCGCUUUCGCCUGUGACGAAGCGUGAGUGACGGUAAUGGGUAAAGAAGCACCGGCUAACUACGUG
rnacentral:rRNA from 1 species